CGGCGGACGGGUGAGUAACGCGUGGGUAACCUGCCUCAUACAGGGGGAUAACAGUUAGAAAUGACUGCUAAUACCGCAUAAGACCACAGCACCGCAUGGUGCGGGGGUAAAAACUCCGGUGGUAUGAGAUGGACCCGCGUCUGAUUAGCUGGUUGGUGAGGUAACGGCCCACCAAGGCAACGAUCAGUAGCCGGCCUGAGAGGGUGAACGGCCACAUUGGGACUGAGACACGGCCCAA
rnacentral:rRNA from 1 species